rnacentral:rRNA from 1 species
UACAGAGGUCCCAAGCGUUGUUCGGAUUCAUUGGGCGUAAAGAGCGUGUAGGCGGCCAGGUAGGUCGGUUGGGAAAACUGGAGGCUCAACCUUCAGAGGUCGACCGAAACCAUCUGGCUAGAGUCCGGGAGAGGAGAGUGGAAUUCCUGGUGUAGCGGUGAAAUGCGCAGAUAUCAGGAAGAACACCCGUGGCGAAAGCGGCUCUCUGGAACGGUACUGACGCUGAGACGCGAAAGCGUGGGGAGCGAACAGG